rnacentral:lncRNA from 1 species
AUAUUAAAUAUGUAAGUUACAAAUAAAUAGCUUUCUCUUCAAUCCAUGGAGAGGCCGUUCAACCAGAAGUGGGAGGAAGGUUAAACUAUCUUCAAGGAUCAAUGUUUGUGAGUGACGAAGUUUUACUUGAAAAUGCUGUUGUAGCAUAAGUUAACGUCAGCUGUUGUUUGAGGGAGCUAUAGGGACUGUUUGGUGUACACAAAAUGCCAGUGCAAAAACUCCACAUCUCUAUGUCUACUUCCCAAGGGUUUUACAACAAUUUAUUGCUCAAUUUGAUUAACUGUAUAUUUAGACUGUAUUUAUAAAAUUGGAAACCAUUUUCUUUAAUGUAAUUCUUCCAGCAUUUCAGUAGUUUACUAAUAAUCUUUAAAUAUAGAAUAAGAAAUUUCAGAAAUAAUAAAUUAAAUUAUAAAAG